rnacentral:rRNA from 1 species
UUGGAACUGAGACACGGUCCAAACUCCUACGGGAGGCAGCAGUGAGGAAUAUUGGUCAAUGGACGAAAGUCUGAACCAGCCAAGUAGCGUGAAGGAUGAAGGUUCUAUGGAUUGUAAACUUCUUUUAUACGGGAAUAAACGGAUCCACGUGUGGAUUUUUGCAUGUACCGUAUGAAUAAGGACCGGCUAAUUCCGUGCCAGCAGCCGCGGUAAUACGGAAGGUCCGGGCGUUAUCCGGAUUUAUUGGGUUUAAAGGGAGCGUAGGCCGGAGAUUAAGCGUGUUGUGAAAUGUAGAUGCUCAACAUCUGCACUGCAGCGCGAACUGGUUUCCUUGAGUACGCACAAAGUGGGCGGAAUUCGUGGUGUAGCGGUGAAAUGCUUAGAUAUCACGAAGAACUCCGAUUGCGAAGGCAGCUCACUGGAGCGCAACUGACGCUGAAGCUCGAAAGUGCGGGUAUCGAACAGGAUUAGAUACCCUGGUAGUCCGCACGGUAAACGAUGGAUGCCCGCUGUUGGUCUGAAUAGGUCAGCGGCCAAGCGAAAGCAUUAAGCAUCC